rnacentral:rRNA from 1 species
AUUUAACGCUAGCGGCAGGCCUAACACAUGCAAGUCGAACGAGUGGCGGACGGGUGAGUAAUGUCUGGGAAAAUGCCCGAUGGAGGGGGAUACCUACUGGAAACGGUAGCUAAUACCGCAUACCAUCGGAUGUUCCCAGAUGGGAUUAGCUAGUAGUUGGGGUAACGGCUCACUUAGGCGAAGAGCCCUAGCUGGUUUGAGAGGAUGACCAGCCACACUGGAACUGAGACACGGUCCAGACUCAGAUGGGAGGCAGAAGUGGGGAAUAUUGCACAAUGGGCGCAAGCCUGAUGCAGCCAUGCCGCGUGUAUGAAGAAGGCCUUCGGGUUGUAAAGUACUUUCAGCGAGGAGGCGGUACUCGCAGAAGAAGCACCGGCUAACUCCGUGCCAGCCGCCGCGGUAAUAC